GACCAACGCUGGCGGCGUGCUUAACACAUGCAAGUCGAACGGUGAAAGCGGAGCUUGCUCCGCUGGAUCAGUGGCGAACGGGUGAGUAACACGUGGGCAACCUGCCCCUCACUUCGGGAUAACUCCGGGAAACCGGGGCUAAUACCGGAUAUGACCUCCUUGGGCAUCCUUGGAGGUGGAAAGUUUUUCGGUGAGGGAUGGGCCCGCGGCCUAUCAGCUUGUUGGUGAGGUAGUGGCUCACCAAGGCGACGCCGGGUAGCCGGCCUGCGAGGGCGACCGGCCACACUGGGACUGAGACACGGCCCAGACUCCUACGGGAGGCAGCAGUGGGGAAUAUUGCGCAAUGGGCGAAAGCCUGACGCAGCAACGCCGCGUGCGGGAUGACGGCCUUCGGGUUGUAAACCGCUUUCAGCAGGGAAGAAGCCGCAAGGUGACGGUACCUGCAGAAGAAGCACCGGCUAACUACGUGCCAGCCGCCGCCGUAA
rnacentral:rRNA from 1 species